rnacentral:miRNA from 1 species
CAACAACACCUGAGCAGAAU